rnacentral:rRNA from 1 species
GGGGCAGCAUUUUUCUAGCAAUAGAAGAGAUGGCGACCGGCGCACGGGUGAGUAACACGUAUCCAACCUGCCGAUAACUCCGGGAUAGCCUUUCGAAAGAAAGAUUAAUACCGGAUAGUAUACGAAUAUCGCAUGAUAUUUUUAUUAAAGAAUUUCGGUUAUCGAUGGGGAUGCGUUCCAUUAGUUUGUUGGCGGGGUAACGGCCCACCAAGACUACGAUGGAUAGGGGUUCUGAGAGGAAGGUCCCCCACAUUGGAACUGAGACACGGUCCAAACUCCUACGGGAGGCAGCAGUGAGGAAUAUUGGUCAAUGGACGAGAGCCUGAACCAGCCAAGUAGCGUGAAGGAUGAAGGCUCUAUGGGUCGUAAACUUCUUUUAUAUGGGAAUAAAGUUUUCCACGUGUGGAAUUUUGUAUGUACCAUAUGAAUAAGGAUCGGCUAACUCCGUGCCAGCAGCCGCGGUAAUACGGAGGAUCCGAGCGUUAUCCGGAUUUAUUGGGUUUAAAGGGAGCGUAGGUGGAUUGUUAAGUCAGUUGUGAAAGUUUGCGGCUCAACCGUAAAAUUGCAGUUGAAACUGGCAGUCUUGAGUACAGUAGAGGUGGGCGGAAUCGUGG